AGCAGCCGCGGUAAUUCCAGCUCCAAUAGCGUAUAUUAAAGUUGUUGCAGUUAAAAAGCUCGUAGUUGAAUUUCGGGAUUAAUAUGUUGGUCGUGCCUUGGUACGUACUGGCAUUAUUGAUUCCUACCUUCUGAAGAACCUCGAUGUCAUUAAUUUGGUGUCUUGGGGAAUCAGGACCGUUACUUUGAAAAAUUAGAGUGUUUAAAGCAGGCUCGCGCUUGAAUACAUUAGCAUGGAAUAAUGAAAUAGGACGUUUGAUUCUAUUUUGUUGGUUUCUAGGAUCGACGUAAUGAUUAAUAGGGAUAGUUGGGGGCAUUAGUAUUCAAUUGUCAGAGGUGAAAUUCUUGGAUUUAUUGAAGACUGACUACUGCGAAAGCAUUUGCCAAGGAUGUUUUCAUUAAUCAAGAACGAAAGUUAGGGGAUCGAAGACGAUCAGAUACCGUCGUAGUCUUAACCAUAAA
rnacentral:misc_RNA from 1 species